UGCAGGCUUUCAGGGCAGAGGGUUUGCGGGCUAGAUUUGAUCAUGGAAUAACCAAUUUUGUCAUUAGUAAGAAGGUGGGAGCCUAUAGUUGACUUAGAGGCACUGUAAGUGUGGUCCAGAAAAGUUUGUAGUGACAUGGGCAACGGAGAAGCAUAUGUGUCCUACAUUUUCCAGAUUGCCACAGUGGCGGUACCUUGGAGAGUCAACUUGUUGCAGGCGGUAUAACACCACUGAGCUGUAAAAGCCACGUUUGAGUCGUGUCCGAUGAAUUGAUGCAGAAUCUUGACGAGAGGUGGGAUGGGACUGGAAGACGGGCCUUCGAAGUGUGGCCUCAGGAAAAACAAAGUGUGCUGAGACAGGAAGGAAGACCUUCGAAACUUGGCCUCAGGAAACACCAUGAGGUGGGAUAUGGACUCUAAAAAGGGCUUUUGAAGUGUGCCCUCAGGAAACACUGGGAGUUGGGAAGGGACUGUGAGAAGGACCUUUGAAGUAUGGCCUCAGGAAACACCAGGAGGUCGACUGGAAGAAGGACCUCCGAAAUUUGGCGUAAGAACAUACUAAGAGGUGUACUGAGACAGGAAUGAAGACCUCCGAAACUUGGCCUCAGGAAACACCAGGAGGUGUAGGGAGACAGGAAGGAAGACCUCCGAAACUUGGGCUCAGGAAACACCAGGAGGUGGAAUGGGAGAGGAAGAACGGCCACCGAAAUUUGGGCACUGCGAACGGGACGGUGGUACUUCGAAAU